rnacentral:rRNA from 1 species
UGGGGAAUCUUGCGCAAUGGGCGAAAGCCUGACGCAGCGACGCCGCGUGAGGGAAGAAGGCUUUCGGGUUGUAAACCUCUUUCAGAAGGGACGAAGCCACUCGGGUUAAUAGCCCAGAGGGUGACGGUACCUUCAGAAGAAGCACCGGCUAACUACGUGCCAGCAGCCGCGGUAAUACGUAGGGGGCAAGCGUUGUCCGGAUUUAUUGGGCGUAAAGAGCGUGUAGGCGGUUUGGUAGGUCCGUUGUGAAAACUCGAGGCUCAACCUCGAGACGCCGAUGGAAACCAUCAGACUAGAGUCCGGAAGAGGAGAGUGGAAUUCCUGGUGUAGCGGUGAAAUGCGCAGAUAUCAGGAAGAACACCCGUGGCUAAGGCGGCUCUCUAGUACGGUACUGACGCUGAGACGCGAAAGCGUGGGGAGCGAAC